GCCUUCGGGUCGUAAAGCUCUGUUGUUAGGGAAGACCAAGUACCGUUCGAAUAGGGCGGUACCUUGACGGUCCCUAACCAGAAAGCCACGGCUAACUACGUGCCAGCAGCCGCGGUAAUACGUAGGUGGCAAGCGUUGUCCGGAAGUAUUGGGCGUAAAGCGCGCGCAGGCGGUCUUUUAAGUCUGAUGUGAAAGCCCACGGCUCAACCGUGGAGGGUCAGUGGACACUGGAGGACUUGAGUGCAGACGAGGAGAGUGGCAUUC
rnacentral:rRNA from 1 species